GACGUAGGGGGCAAGCGUUGUCCGGAAUCAUUGGGCGUAAAGCGCUCGUAGGUGGAUCGGUAAGUCUGCAAAGAAAGACCCGGGCUCAACUCGGGGAACGGUGUGGAUACUACCGAUCUUGAGGCAAUCAGAGGAUGAUGGAAUUCCCGGUGUAGCGGUGAAAUGCGUAGAUAUCGUGAGGAACACCAGAGGCGAAGGCGGCUACCUGGACAAUUGCUGACGCUCAGGCACGAAAGCGUGGGGAGCAAAAGGG
rnacentral:rRNA from 1 species